UGAGGAAUAUUGGUCAAUGGACGGAAGUCUGAACCAGCCAAGUAGCGUGCAGGAUGACGGCCCUAUGGGUUGUAAACUGCUUUUAUGUGGGGAUAAAGUGCGUGACGUGUCAUGCAUUGCAGGUACCACAUGAAUAAGGACCGGCUAAUUCCGUGCCAGCAGCCGCGGUAAUACGGAAGGUCCGGGCGUUAUCCGGAUUUAUUGGGUUUAAAGGGAGCGUAGGCUGUCUAUUAAGCGUGUUGUGAAAUUUACCGGCUCAACCGGUGGCUUGCAGCGCGAACUGGUCGACUUGAGUAUGCAGGAAGUAGGCGGAAUUCAUGGUGUAGCGGUGAAAUGCUUAGAUAUCAUGACGAACUCCGAUUGCGCAGGCAGCUUACUGUAGCAUAACUGACGCUGAUGCUCGAAAGUGCGGGUAUCAAACAGG
rnacentral:rRNA from 1 species